GCCUGGGUGGCUCAGUCGGUUAAGCAUCUGACUUCAGCUCAGGUCAUGAUCUCACAGUCCGUGAGUUCGAGCCCCACGUCGGGCU
rnacentral:tRNA from 1 species